GAGAAAAUCCUCCAUGGGGAGAAGGUUUUCCAUGGGGAUGAAACCCCCUUGUAGGGAUGAAAUCCUCAGGAGCAGCAUUGGCGGUGCUGGAGCUCCUGGUGGGAAUGGGGUGGGUUUGAUGCUGCAGAACCCAAUUGUCCUCUUUAGUUGUUGGCCUGUAGAGCCACUCAACAAGAAUUCCCUGGGGAAAGGAGGGCUCCCAGUGGAACCAGACCUUCCCUCCUCCUGAACAGGCAGGAACCUGUGCCACCAGGACUGGGCCUGGAGCUUUCCUUGCCAGCCCUUUCUCAGGAGCCACCUCUGAAAUUCAGAGAGCAGCUCCCAAACUGAAAAUGUCCCGGAAUUCUGAUUUGGAGAGCUCUGGUUCCAGCUUUGAGGCUUGGCAGCUCCACCCGACCCAGAUUUACACCAGGAGUGGCCCAACAGGGACAAUUCUGACAACGGGAUUACAACGUGGAGGAGCUGUUGCUGAUGAAUUAUGGACUCAUUAAGCUGGGCUCAAUUCCCAGUGUUCCCAGUGCACAAACAAGCAGAGGAAGCGCAGGAAAUGCUUUUUCCACCCCAGCUCCCGGCUGCACGCUCUGUCCCCAUGCUCCAACCGCUUCGGAUCCCUCCCUGCCCCUCUCUCCCUCCCCUCCCAGCCUGGAAUACGCUGGAAGGGACCAUAUAAGCAAGGACAAAGGCCGGGCUGCCCCAGGAGCAGCUGUGGCUUCUCCUGGCAACCCACCCUGAUAACCUGGAGCAGAAAAAAGCACGGAUCUUAUCAGCAGAAAAAUAAAAACCAAAAAAAAACCCCACGGAUCUUAUCAGCAGAAAAAUAAAAACCAAAAAAAAACCCCACGGAUCUUAUCAGCACUGGAGGGCUGUGCUGGCAAAAACAAGGCUGAGCCGUGCCCAGUUCCUUCCCCUGCGUGAGUCACCCUCAGGGUUCAUUUUCUGCCCCUGUGGCUUUGGAAGUGGGUUAUUCCCAGGCUGAGUGAGUCACAGUGGCCUGGAAUUCUCUUUUCCCUGUUUGGGAGCUCCAGGGAAAAUGAUGGAAACUCUCAUUCUCCCCAUCCAUCCACCUGGGGAACCUCUGAGCCCAUGGGAGGGGUGUUGAAGUGGUAAAUAAAAUUUUAGUGCUGGCAGGAGGUUGUCCCUGCCCAGAGGUGCUGGUGAUUUUCUUGGUUUUGAAAGAGAUUUGAUAUUGGGGAAAAAUUGCCUUUUUCCAAGUGAAAAUCCUGACACCCCACUCCAGAUUCAUUCAGAUUUCCUGGAAUUCUCUUUUCCCUGUUUAGGAGCUCCAGGAAAAAUGAUGGAUCCUGUCAUUCUGCCCAUCCAUCCACCUGGAGAACCUCUGAGCCCAUGGGAGGGGGAUGAACGCCUUAAAUAACAUUUUAGUGCCUUAAAUUUAGUGCUGGCAGGAGGUUGACCCUGCCCUGGUGAUUCCUG